rnacentral:rRNA from 1 species
GAUAGCGUAACAGCUCACUGGUCUAGUGAUUCUGCGCGGAAAAUAUAACGGGGCUAAGUUGUACACCGAGGCUGUAGAUUUCAUAUUAAUAUGGAGUGGUAGGAGAGCGUUCGUAUCAGCGUUGAAGGUAUACCGGUAAGGAGUGCUGGAGCGAUAUGAAGUGAGCAUGCAGGCAUGAGUAGCGAUAAAACAGAUGAGAAUUCUGUUCGCCGUAAACCCAAGGUUUCCUACGCUAUGAUCGUCAUCGUAGGGUUAGUCAGGUCCUAAGUCGAGUCCGAAAGGGGUAGACGAUGGCAAAUCGGUUAAUAUUCCGAUACUAACAAAUAAGCGCGAUGGGGGGACGCAUAGGGCUAUGGGAGCUAACUGAUGGAAUAGUUAGUCGAAGGAUGUAGGUUGUUGUUCAGGCAAAUCCGGACAACGUUAGACCGAGAUCUUACAGGCAUUCCAAGGUCUUCGGACUGCGGAGUGAAUCCUUGAUGCCGUCG